UUAUUAAACAAAAAACUCAAUAUUAAAAAUAUAUGUACAUAGUAUAUACAAAAUAAAUAAAUAUGUCGCACAGUUCACAAUUCGAGAGCCGAAAUUUUUUUUACAAAAUACACGCGCACGCCGUUUUGCCUUUAGAAUCGAACUAAAACAAGGGCGGCGCAGCAAAUUAACAGCAAGCAAGAAGCGCCUGCCCGAGCAAUUGAAUAAAAACAACAACAAACAUAACUAAUUUUAAUACAGAAUUAUGGCGGCAGCAGAGUGGCAAAUGAGAUACAACAAAAAAGUGGAUUAUUUUUGUCUCAGUGGAGCAGAUGGCGGCGGCACGAUAAAGCGGUGAGUCGAGGUGAAUAAAGUGGAGCUUAGUCGGUCGCUAAGCUGGGCAGCGGUUCGUGGGUGGACCGGAGGUAUUAAAGAGAAUUAUGGAAUAUUUGAGGUCGGCGAAAAGUGCGCGAAAAAGGAGUAAGCAGAUAAGUCAGUUGUCAAUUCUCUGAAGUGGCCCACACAAUACAUCAACAUAUCAAGCUGUUUAGUAUGGCAACUACUCAACUAGAUUACCACAGGGAUAUAAGAUAAAAGCAUUGUGCCUUUCAUGGCAAUAUUCUGUAAGCACUGUCAGCAUAAACUACAAGGAAAAGUCAACAAAAGUGGCGCAAAAGCACAAACCUGGAGUUAUUAUCAUUCUAUUUUUUUUUAGUUUUGGCUGCUUCCCGAGAGGUAGCGCAUGCGCAGAGGAGAUAAAUUUCAAAUGCAAACAGAAACAAACAAACAAAUAUGCGAACUUAAAAUAUACAUUGUAUGUAACUGUUGAAGUGGUGAAUAAAACAGAAACAACAAAAUGCGUGGCCAACAAAAAUACAACUAACAGGUGAGUGUGACAGCAGCAAAUAAGGAGUGGAAAGCAGUGCAAGAACAAGAACAAAUCGAAGCACAACAAACCAAAAUAGCGGCAUAUGAAAUCAGUUGCCAAAGUGGUGGGUGUGCCAUAUACGGGGGAAAUCAGCUUAAAUAUAGAUAUUUAUGUAUGCGCGUAUAUGAAAUUAUAUAAGUGAAACGCGCAGUUAUUUAUUAUAAAUUAUAAUGAAGUUACUAUAAUUAGUAUAACAAUAAAUAAGCACAACAACAAAA